UGCCCACUGACCGUUAAAGGGUUGAAGGGCCGCGGUAUUUUGACCGUGCAAAGGUAGCAUAAUCAUUAGUUCUUUAAUUGUGAUCUGGUAUGAAUGGCUUGACGAGAUAUAAGCUGUCUUAGAGGUAUUGGUUUAUUGAAUUUGGUUUUUGAGUUAAAAUUCUUAAAUGUUUUUAUGGGACGAGAAGACCCUAUAGAGUUUGACAAUUUUCUUAUUUGUUCGUUGUUUGUUUUNGUUAUAUUGAGUGGGAACANAUUGUUUUGUUGGGGUGAUGGGAGGAACAUUGUUUAACUCCUCUUUGUUUUUGUAUAUUUAUGUAUA
rnacentral:rRNA from 1 species